rnacentral:rRNA from 1 species
UACGUAGGUGGCAAGCGUUGUCCGGAUUUACUGGGUUUAAAGGGUGCGUAGGCGGGCAGGUAAGUCCGUGGUGAAAUCUCUGAGCUUAACUCAGAAACUGCCAUGGAUACUAUUUGUCUUGAAUAUUGUGGAGGUAAGCGGAAUGUGUCAUGUAGCGGUGAAAUGCUUAGAUAUGACAUAGAACACCAAUUGCGAAGGCAGCUUACUACACAGUUAUUGACGCUGAGGCACGAAAGCGUGGGGAUCAAACAGG